GCAUUGGUGGUUCAGGGGUAGAAUUCUUGCCUGCUAAAUCAGGUACUU
rnacentral:precursor_RNA from 1 species